rnacentral:antisense_RNA from 1 species
UUAUAUGGUGGACAUGCGUGGGGCUCAUUCAUGAGCGCCGGGUUUCCGUAUCGACCGGUCUACCAACCCGCGCAUGGCCGCCACCUUC